UUUUCAUUCUUUCUUUUGUUCCAUACUUCCAAUACUAGCUGCUCUUCCAUCUUCAAAGAGUUAUCCUACAGAGUAGAAAUAGAAUCAUAAAAAAAAAACAAAGAAAGUUAACCCUGCAAUAUAACCCAAGCUAGUGUGGUAAUAGAUAUAUGCCUUGCAGCUUCCCCUAUAAUCUCUAAAUACUUACCUUUGCUCACUUUUGCUUCUCCCCUUUCUUCAUCUUCUUCUCUUUUGGUUUCUUAUUCGUUGCUUCUUAAAUGGUAAGUUGAAAAUGUUGACACCAAGUCCUCAAACAUGGUUGUCCUAGCUUUUUAGCUAGUACGUACUCUUCUUUGCCUUCAUUUGCUGAUCUUGAACUACACCGUAACGUGGUUCAGAGGAUAGAAGAAACGAAAAACAUGAUGGAUAGUAAUCGCGAUGAAGUAGUAGUUUCAAGAACGACGAAUUCAUUGAUGAUGAGAGUUCUUGUGUUUGUGAGCUUUGUUGGGUUUUUGAUUAUUGUUAAUGAGGUUACUGUUGUACCAAGUAGUACUAGUGAAGAACCGAUCCCAGUGUCGUCGUCAAGAACAACGAGAACAAGUAUAUCAGCAUCAUCAUCCUUAGGAAGUAGUAAUGGAAGACAUGGUAGUAAACCUACUGCUACUCCUCGUGUUGGUAAGAGAAGUUACAUGUCGAGCGAAAGAAGAGUUCCUAAUGGUCCUGAUCCCAUUCAUAACAGCAGUUUUGAAGGAAUCGUCAAGAAUUUUUUGAUCACUGAGAAAUCUUUGAUCAAUCUUAUGGUGCAUGGGAUUAACAAUAUUAAUAAUUACGUUGGUAAUACGACAGUAUGAGCAUAUAUUCGACAUGACAUGCAUGGUAGCCGAACAUUCUUUUCAAGUCGGCUUCGAAUAAUAAUAUACUGGAGUAAUUUUUUAACAGAAAAAGAAAAAGUAAAAGAAAAAAGAUAAAGCAUUUCCGAAAAUUGUUUUUUUCCUUAAAUGAGAGCAAGGAAGUCCAAAGAACCACCAGGCCGAGCUUAGUAGUUAGGCUUUAAAAUUUAAAACCCUUAUAGUAUUAAUAGAGUUUUGAAAAUGCUAUUAAUUGAAUUUUGUGAAGAAAAUUGAUGUGAGUUGAUUGAUUACAAUGUAGUGUGGAUAAUUUGGAUUUAUGUAUAAACCAGUAAGGACUCAAAUCUUUGAGACAAUUAAUAUAUAAUAAACCCAAAACUACAAAAGGGUUCACAACUUA